rnacentral:tRNA from 1 species
AUGGGUGUAUCAUAGUGAUGUGAAUUUAAUUUAGGUUUAAACUACGUUGGUUUGAUUCCAGCCACCCGUG